rnacentral:snoRNA from 1 species
CGGUCAUUUCCAAGAAGGCUUCUGUGGCUACGAAAUAAGAAGCUUUUCAGCACUAGGAGCAAGGUUUAAUUUCUCCCUAAAUACCACAGUCACUCAAUGGUGCUGUUUUCCAGAGAAGAGACAAGA